AUUGAACGCUGGCGGCAGGCCUAACACAUGCAAGUCGAGCGGAGCGGCGGACGAGCGAGUAAUUCCUAGGAAGCUGCCUGGUAGUGGGGGAGAACGUCCGGAAACGGGCGCUAACAACGCAUACUAGCUGAUGAGCGUAGGUCGGAUGAGCUAGUUGGUGGGGUAAAGGCCUACCAAGGCGACGAUCCGUACCUGGUCUGAGAGGAUGAUCAGUCACACUGGAACUGCGACACGGUCCAGACUCCUACGGGAGGCAGCAGUGGGGAAUAUUGGACAAUGGGCGCAAGCCUGAGUCAGCCAUGCCGCGUGUGUGAAGAAGGUCUUCGGAUUGUAAAGCACUUUAAGUUGGGAGGCGUUACCGACAGAAUAAGCACCGGCUAACUUCGUGCCAGCAGCCGCGGUAAUAC
rnacentral:rRNA from 1 species